GUACCAGCUGGCACCUGUGCCUGAGAAAAUCGCGCUCAAGCAGCAUCUUUGUUUAGCAUCGGAGCACUGCGGAGGUAAUUACUGCCGGUUAGAAAAACGGAGGAGCCGGUAACUGAAACCCCCGGCCCCUCGGCUUAUCAAACUCCCAGGUUACAAGUGCGAUUUCCAGCCAGGUUUGGAGGCCGCCUCCCACAAAGCUGCCAGUCUGUGACUUUAGAUUCGACAGCUUGGAACCAGUUCCCCGGAGGCUCCGUUCCAGGUAUCCUCUUAGCUCAGAGGUCAGACUAGGAUCAGAGAUAAAAUGUCAUCACGAAAAUUUUUCUAAUCGCCAAAGCAGUGCUACUUUAAAAACUAGAACCAUCCUUUUUAUCUGGAAUUAAGCCGGUGGAAUAAGGGGAAGGGGACUUUGGUCUUCAAAUAACAAUAAUUGCCUCCACGGUUAGUUGUUGAGCUCUUUUUAUGUGUCAGACGCUAUGGAAGCACUUUGAUGAAUUCUCUAAGUCUUCACAGCCUUAAAAGGAAGACACUUACCACACCAUUUGAUAGAUACAAGACUGAGCCUUAGAGAAGCCUGCGAGGGUCCACAGUGUUACUACAAGCUCACCAGCCCUGCCCAUGUCUGGAAGGGAAUCAUCCUGAUCCAGGGAUCAAACCCACGUCUCCUGCAUUGGCAGGCGAAUUCUUUACCAGUGAACCACCUGGGAAGCCCCGAGGAGAGGAGAUGGCCAUGAGCACCAGAAGCCCACCAAAGAGCAAGUUGAAUGAAGAACACACAUCCUGAUUUUCUGCAGCCAACACAGGUCCUUUGCUGAAGCUGGAGAUGUAGCGCAGAGAGGCUGGUUCUCCAGACACACAUUCUCCCCACUCAUAUCCUCCUUCAGCUGAGAAAACCCUGCAGAUCCCCC
ensembl:lncRNA